rnacentral:lncRNA from 1 species
CAGUCACUUUGGGUGUGUUUCUCCACGUCCCCAGCCUUGGCUUUCCCAUCUGUAAAGUGGGGGUGACUUUCGUAGCGCGGUCUCCUCGGGUUGGUACGAGGCUUUGAGGAGGCGCAGUCGGCUGGCCACAUGCGGGUCCUGAGCUGAGGUCAGUAGGAGGUUGCAGUCGUGUUGGUCGCUGGGCAAUUUCCCUGCACAGUCGUGUUUUGAAGCAAUUCGGGGCGAGCUUUCUCAGAAUCAAAGAGGCAACUUCACAGCGUAUGAAGACCCCGGCACGGGAACCCCAAGGUGGAGGAUCUACCCUGAGGUGCCCGUCUUUGUUGCAGGUGGAAGCAGCUGUCGUGGCUCAGGAGGCGCCGUGCCUGCUCGGCGGGGCUCAGUGGGGAGCUGGGGACCGACUCCCUGUGUGCAAACUCCGGGUGAACCACGAAGGCUGCAGCCUGGAUCCCAUUUUUAAUUUUGAUGAAAAUGGUCUCUGUCAAAAGCACAUGCCCUCGGGGAGCCACCUCUCGAAGGGGCCAGCACGAGCCCCGAGCUGUGUCCCCACAGCCUGCGUGGGAUGACGGACUGGGAGGAGGUGGGCAGGAACCCCGUGUUAGGAUCCUCAACUCCCGUGUGCUCUGGGCACGUUGUCCUGAGCUUCUGGGGAGGUGUGCCCCCAAGCCUGCUCCCAUCACUCUGGCUGUUUUUGGAGCAUGGUUUUUAUAGAUGUGAGGUUUCGGGGAACACAGGUGGAGACACCUGUGCUGAGGUCUGUACCGUGCUCGGCUACGCAGUGAGCAACAGUAAGCUACCCAUGAUCGCCGUCACGGCUGGUGAUCGUGGUGGGGGAAACGACCCAGGAAGGCAUUGACACGCGCUCCAACGGGGAUGGGGAACACCACGUAACUCCCACACGGCUGGUGACGCUGCGACUCUGGUACCACCUCUGGGGGUAGGUUGGCACUCCACAGUGCCCACUGUAUACCAGGCACCGUGUGAGACCCAGGCCCCGUGGGCUGAAGGACCUCGGCCCCCCGGGAGGCUGCGAUCCCACAAGUCACAUGUCCCUUCAGUUCAGCUGCCCUGGCCCCGGGGGUCUGGAAAAUGAGGGCAGGGACGGGAUGAUCCCAAGGCCCCUGGUUGUGCUGCCCGGCGAGUCCCCUGCCCCAGCCCUGCUCGGUCCAGCCGCAGCCUCGGCCGCUGCCCAGUGGGUCCCCUCCACGUGCUGGGUCUUCCCCAGCGCUGGUUGCAAGGCGCUCCUGACCCCCCCACGCCCCUGCCGACUUGGCCUGGCCUCGGGGCCACCCGAGGACGAUGACUUGAAUGCUCCGGGCUUGCGUGGCCCUUGGUGGAGUGCCAGCCGGGCAGGUUGAUGCAUAGCACGCAGGAUGGAUGGCGACGUUUUAAUCACUCACAGGCAGAGUGGGCAGCUGACUAAUGGAACUGUCGGUCCCACUGACAGUCGGCGUCUGUCGCUUCAGACGGCAAGAGUGGACACUCGCGCUGCCCCCUGGGGACAGGUGCCCUCUGCUGAACUCCCAACAGACGAGGCUCCUGGAGCCUGUUCCCGGGGGAGUGACCGCUUUCCUGGGCAGGGGGAGUCUGGCCGGUGGUGACCAUUUCCCAGCACCCCGACUCCCCCUCUACUGUCCAGUCCACGUCCACCCCGUCCUUUCAAUUCCCCUGCGGUAGCCGUGGGCGCAGUGCAGUCCCCAUCACACAGAAGAGGAAACUGGGGUUCAGAGAGGAGCACUGAGGUGACGGCAGAUCGAGAGACAAAACUAGAACCGGGACCCCCCCACCCCCAACCCUCAACCUGCCAGGUUUCCCCUGUCCUGAGCUUGGUGACAUCAUCUGGAGAGAAGGAGGAGGACAGAGAAGGGCAGCAAAAGCAAGAGAGAAGACCAGAGAAAGGCAUGUAGUCAGCGGAGGACGCAGAGGAGGACCAGAGUGGAAAGAGGGCAGCCGGAAGAGAGGGGGACACACCCCAGUGGAUGGCUGCCCCCUCGCCUGGCCCUCAAACCGGCUCUUAUCCUGUGUGAGCUACAGCAUCCACGCAGCCAGCAUUUAUUGAGCACCUACUAUAUGCCAGGUACCAUGCUGGGCCCUGGGGACACUGCCCUGCAUGGAACCGAUGAAGUCCCUGGCUUCAUGGAGUGGACACUGUCAGGGGGACACCCUGCAGCGCCAGCCUCAACACAGGUCCAGUGGGCAUCAUGCACUGGGACCCGCGGCUCGGGCUGGGGUGUGGCGGUGGGGGUCGGCAGAGCAGGGGGCUCCUAGGCUGCGGCCCCCCUCCUUUACCAGCCCCAGUCCACUGCGGCCAUCAAACGGCAGAGCAAGGCAGAGACGCCAGCGCCCGUCCUCCAUGGGCCCCGGGAGGUUGGCCGCGCCACCCCUGCUCCUGGUCACCCCGCGUCGAUGGAUAAGGACGACUUCAGAAGCCCCUGGCGGGCCCAGGCGUCUGGCGCUGCCAUGACUGAGAUCAGCGCACGGCAUAAAUCCGACAGCUCCGAUC